UUUAUUUAGAUCUAGAAGAUUCAAAUAUGAAGCUAGAUCGAGGAAAGGAAAAAGUUCGGGAUUAGUAGAUUUUUUUUUGUUUACAAACAAGUAUCAAGUGUUAAGAGCUCGGAGGUCAGAUUUGGUCGGAGACACAUCACACUAUCAACCUCAGGAUUUCGGUAUAUAAAGAAACUUUAUUUUGGAAAUCAAUGGCAUGUAUAAGCUAAUAAAGUAAAUGUUAACGUGAAAUGAAUGUAAAGUUAGCCAUUAGUAUGGUUAACAAACCUGGUUUUGGGUAUGUGAUGAUGUUAUUUUAUAAA